rnacentral:rRNA from 1 species
UACAGAGACUGCGAGCGUUAUUCGGAUUCACUGGGCGUAAAGGGCGCGCAGGCGGCCCUCCAAGUCAGGCGUGAAAGCCCCGGGCUCAACCCGGGAAUAGCGCUUGAGACUGGGGGGCUUGAGUUCGGGAGAGGAGAGUGGAAUUCCCAGUGUAGAGGUGAAAUUCGUAGAUAUUGGGAAGAACACCGGUGGCGAAGGCGGCUCUCUGGACCGACACUGACGCUGAGGCGCGAAAGCGUGGGGAGCAAACAGG